AUUAAUAGCACAUGGAUCUUGUUUGAGUAACCGGAUACCUUCUGACAUUCAUUAGUGCAAUAAACAUGUAAGAUUUGGAAAACAAGUAAGUAUUGGAAUGUCUUGACAUCUUGUAGGGUGGAAACAAGUUCAUUGGUAACGUAAGACAUCAUACAAAACCAUUAUGGAUCACAUGUUACUGAAUAACUUUGGAAACUUUCUUAAUAGAACAAUUAUUAACUUUCAUACCAAAGAUAUGGUAUAGAGUAUGCU
rnacentral:lncRNA from 1 species